rnacentral:rRNA from 1 species
UUAAGUGAAUAAGGGCGCACGGUGGAUGCCUUGGCACUAGGAGCCGAUGAAGGACGGGACUAACACCGAUAUGCUUUGGGGAGCUGUACGUAAGCUAUGAUCCAGAGAUUUCCGAAUGGGGGAACCCAACAUCUUUAAUAGGAUGUUACGAUUGUGUGAAUACAUAGCACAUUCGAGGUAGACGCAGAGAACUGAAACAUCUAAGUACCUGCAGGAAGAGAAAGAAAAUUCGAUUCCCUGAGUAGCGGCGAGCGAAACGGGAAAAGCCCAAACCAGCAAGCUUGCUUGUUGGGGUUGUAGGACUCCAAUAUGGUAGUUCUUUCAGAUAGUCGAAUGACUUGGAAAAGUCAGUCAAAGAGGGUAAAAACCCCGUAGACGAAAUGUGGAAGACACCUAGGAGGAUCCUGAGUACGGCGGAACACGAGAAAUUCCGUCGGAAUCCGGGAGGACCAUCUCCCAAGGCUAAAUACUCCCUAGUGACCGAUAGUGAACCAGUACCGUGAGGGAAAGGUGAAAAGCACCCCGGAAGGGGAGUGAAAUAGAACCUGAAACCGUGUGCCUACAACAAGUCAAAGCCCGUUAAUGGGUGAUGGCGUGCCUUUUGUAGAAUGAACCGGCGAGUUACGAUUGCAUGCGAGGUUAAGUUGAAGAGACGGAGCCGCAGCGAAAGCGAGUCUGAAUAGGGCGUUUGAGUAUGUAGUCGUAGACCCGAAACCAUGUGAUCUACCCAUGUCCAGGUUGAAGGUGCGGUAAAACGCACUGGAGGACCGAACCCACGUACGUUGAAAAGUGCGGGGAUGAGGUGUGGGUAGCGGAGAAAUUCCAAACGAACUUGGAGAUAGCUGGUUCUCUCCGAAAUAGCUUUAGGGCUAGCCUCGGAAUUGAGAAUGAUGGAGGUAGAGCACUGUUUGGACUAGGGGCCCAUCUCGGGUUACCGAAUUCAGAUAAACUCCGAAUGCCAUUCAUUCAUAUCCGGGAGUCAGACUGUGAGUGAUAAGAUCCAUAGUCGAAAGGGAAACAGCCCAGACCACCAGCUAAGGUCCCAAAAUAUAUGUUAAGUGGAAAAGGAUGUGGGGUUGCACAGACAACUAGGAUGUUGGCUUAGAAGCAGCCACCAUUUAAAGAGUGCGUAAUAGCUCACUAGUCGAGUGACCCUGCGCCGAAAAUGUACCGGGGCUAAACAUAUUACCGAAGCUGUGGAGUACACCUUUAGGUGUAUUGGUAGGAGAGCGUUCUAAGGGCGUUGAAGGCAGAUCGUGAGGACUGCUGGAGCGCUUAGAAGUGAGAAUGCCGGUAUGAGUAGCGAAAGACAGGUGAGAAUCCUGUCCACCGAAUGACUAAGGUUUCCUGGGGAAGGCUCGUCCGCCCAGGGUUAGUCGGGACCUAAGCCGAGGCCGACAGGCGUAGGCGAUGGAUAACAGGUUGAUAUUCCUGUACCCGUUGUUUUUGUUUGAGCAAUGGAGGGACGCAGGAGGCUAAGGAAUGCAGACGAUCGGAAAUGUCUGUCCAAGCAGUAAGUCUGAAGAGGAGUCAAAUGCUUCUUUUCUUAAGGACAAGCUGUGAUGGGGAGGGAAAUAAUAGUACCGAAGUUCCUGAUGUCACACUGCCGAGAAAAGCUUCUAGUGAGAAAACAGCGGCCCGUACCGCAAACCGACACAGGUAGUCGAGGAGAGAAUCCUAAGGUGAGCGAGAGAACUCUCGUUAAGGAACUCGGCAAAAUGACCCCGUAACUUCGGGAGAAGGGGUGCUGAUCAUACGAUCAGCCGCAGUGAAUAGGCCCAAGCGACUGUUUAUCAAAAACACAGGUCUCUGCAAAAUCGUAAGAUGAAGUAUAGGGGCUGACGCCUGCCCGGUGCUGGAAGGUUAAGAGGAGUGCUUAGCGCAAGCGAAGGUACGAAUUGAAGCCCCAGUAAACGGCGGCCGUAACUAUAACGGUCCUAAGGUAGCGAAAUUCCUUGUCGGGUAAGUUCCGACCCGCACGAAAGGCGUAACGAUUUGGGCACUGUCUCAACGAGAGACUCGGUGAAAUUUUAGUACCUGUGAAGAUGCAGGUUACCCGCGACAGGACGGAAAGACCCCAUGGAGCUUUACUGUAGUUUGAUAUUGAGUGUCUGUACCGCAUGUACAGGAUAGGUAGGAGCCGUAGAAAUCGGAACGCUAGUUUCGAUGGAGGCGCUGGUGGGAUACUACCCCUGCGUUAUGGCCACUCUAACCCGCACCACUAAUCGUGGUGGGAGACAGUGUCAGAUGGGCAGUUUGACUGGGGCGGUCGCCUCCUAAAAGGUAACGGAGGCGCCCAAAGGUUCCCUCAGAAUGGUUGGAAAUCAUUCGAAGAGUGUAAAGGCAGAAGGGAGCUUGACUGCGAGACCAACAAGUCGAGCAGGGACGAAAGUCGGGCUUAGUGAUCCGGUGGUUCCGCAUGGAAGGGCCAUCGCUCAACGGAUAAAAGCUACCCUGGGGAUAACAGGCUUAUCUCCCCCAAGAGUCCACAUCGACGGGGAGGUUUGGCACCUCGAUGUCGGCUCGUCGCAUCCUGGGGCUGUAGUCGGUCCCAA